GAUUUCUGACCUGCAACAUUUGGCCGGCCACGGUUUCGUGUGUUAGUGCUUGAUGUUCUGGCCAUCCUUCCAAUCGCUGCGUCGUCGUCACCUUCAUUGAUGCGGCGACGUAGUAUUGGAUCUUUUACUUUGAACAAAUUAGAGUGUUUCAAGCAGGCUUAUUGCUAUGAAUACAUUAGCAUGGAAUAAUAAUUUAGGACUUCGGUUCUAUUUUGUUGGUUUCUAGGACUGAAGUAAUGAUUGAUAGGGACAGUUGGGGGUGCUAGUAUUCAGCGGCCAGAGGUGAAAUUCUCGGAUUCGCUGAAGACUAACUUAUGCGAAAGCAUU
rnacentral:rRNA from 1 species